GCCAUUUUAGCUCAGUCGGUAGAGCGGCUCACUCGUAAUGAGCAGGUCGACAGUUCGAUUCUGUCAAAUGGCUCCA
rnacentral:tRNA from 2 species